UUCUGGUUGAUCCUGCCAGAGGUUACUGCUAUCGAGGUUCGACUAAGCCAUGCGAGUCGAAUGUAGCAAUACAUGGCGUACUGCUCAGUAACACGUGGACAACCUACCCUUAGGAUGGGGAUAAACCCGGGAAACUGGGUAUAAUACCCAAUAGAUCUGGUCUGCUGGAAUGCUUCCAGAUUUAAAACUCCGGUGCCUAAGGAUGGGUCUGCGGCCUAUCAGGUUGUAGUGGGUGUAGUGUACCUACUAGCCUACGACGGGUACGGGUUGUGAGAGCAAGAGCCCGGAGAUGGAUUCUGAGACACGAAUCCAGGCCCUACGGGGUGCAGCAGGCGCGAAAACCUUACAAUGCCGGCAACGGCGAUAAGGGGACCUCGAGUGCCAGGUUACAAAUCUGGCUGUCGCGAUGCCUAAAAAGCAUUGCAUAGCAAGGGCCGGGCAAGACCGGUGCCAGCCGCCGCGGUAACACCGGCGGCUCGAGUGGUAACCGUUAUUAUUGGGUCUAAAGGGUCUGUAGCCGGCCGGGUAAGUCUCUUGGGAAAUCCAGCAGCUCAACUGUUGGGCUUUCAGGAGAUACUGCCUGGCUCGAGCCCGGGAGAGGUGAGAGGUACUUCAGGGGUAGGGGUGAAAUCUUGUAAUCCUUGAAGGACCACCAGUGGCGAAGGCGUCUCACCAGAACGGACCUGACGGCAAGGGACGAAAGCUAGGGGCACGAACCGGAUUAGAUACCCGGGUAGUCCUAGCCGUAAACGAUACUCGCUAGGUGUCGGCCACGGUGCGACCGUGGUCGGUGCCGUAGGGAAGCCGUGAAGCGAGCCCUGGGAAGUACGGCCGCAAGGCUGAAACUUAAAGGAAUUGGCGGG
rnacentral:rRNA from 1 species